rnacentral:lncRNA from 1 species
GCGACAGUGGUGACUACCGGAAGUGGAGAUGACCUCUGGUCACCGGACAAGUGAUGAUUGACGAUGGUAGCAGCUUGGUUAUCAGGAUAUGUAUGAGAUUAUGGCACUGGAUAGAGGUGAUGAACUGCCGCAGGUGAUGAUGGCGCUAACGCGAGACGGGCAACUCUACCCGAGCCUCGCUAAAGGUUGAAAAGAGGUGAACAGCUGGGUUGAAAAGAGGGAACAGUGGUCAGAAGGGUGAAAAGAGGGAACAGUGGUCAGAAGCAUGCUCUAUACAACAUCUACUUUUGUUUUGUCAACUGUAAAGCUGGGUUGAAAAGUAGAUGUCAAAAGUACAACAUCUACUGUUGAAAAGCAUGCUCUGUGCCCCCAUUUUUUUAUUUGUUUUGUGCCCCUAAAACCGAUGAGUCGGCCCUUUUUGACUCAUGGUGCUGUUUCAUUUUUGAAAGCUCUUUAAUAAUGAUUUUGUUUUCCCAUUUUCCAACAGUUACAUCUUUUGUUUUCUAAUUAGCCAUUUUUUUAGUUUCCAACCGUUGCAUCUAUUGUUUUCUUAUUAGACAAAACAUCUAUUGAAGGUAUAAUAUUUACUCUUGUUACAACUGAAAGGCUUUCUCCCAGCAGAGAUUGUAUAGUAGUUUACUAUAAAAGAAUGAGCUUAUU